CGGAUCUAGUGGCGGACGGGUGAGUAACACGUAGGGGACCUACCUCAUGGUGGGGGAUACCGCCGGGAAACCGGCGCUAAUACCGCAUAAGUCCAUAUCCAUAGAGGGGGUAUGGGGGAAAUGGGUAACCAGCCAUGGGAGGGGCCUUGCGGCGGAUUAGCUAGUUGGUGGGGUAGAAGCCUACCAAGGCGACGAUCCGUAGCUGGUCUGAGAGGACGACCAGCCACACCGGGACUGAGACACGGCCCGG
rnacentral:rRNA from 1 species